rnacentral:rRNA from 1 species
UGGGGAAUUUUGGACAAUGGGCGCAAGCCUGAUCCAGCCAUGCCGCGUGCGGGAAGAAGGCCUUCGGGUUGUAAACCGCUUUUGUCAGGGAAGAAAUCUUCUGAGUUAAUACCUCGGGAGGAUGACGGUACCUGAAGAAUAAGCACCGGCUAACUACGUGCCAGCAGCCGCGGUAAUACGUAGGGUGCAAGCGUUAAUCGGAAUACUGGGCGUAAAGCGUGCGCAGGCGGUUUUGUAAGACAGAGGUGAAAUCCCCGGGCUCAACCUGGGAACUGCCUUUGUGACUGCAAGGCUUGAGUGCGGCAGAGGGGGAUGGAAUUCCGCGUGUAGCAGUGAAAUGCGUAGAUAUGCGGAGGAACACCGAUGGCGAAGGCAAUCCCCUGGGCCUGCACUGACGCUCAUGCACGAAAGCGUGGGGAGCAAACAGGAUUAGAUACCCCUGGUAGUCCACGCCCUAAACGAUGUCAACUGGUUGUUGGGAAGGUUCCUUCUCAGUAACGUAGCUAACGCGUAAGUUGACCGCCUGGGGAGUACGGCCGCAAGGUUGAAACUCAAAGGAAUUGACGGGGG